rnacentral:lncRNA from 1 species
CCCAUCCUGCUUCCAGCAUGGCUGGAACACAGGGGCCAGCCUUACCUCCCCAGGGGCUGUGCAGGCCUCAGCUUCCGCCUCUCUGGGAGAUUGGAGCAGUGAAAAGAUGGGCCAAUGGGCAAGGGGAGUCGCAAUGGUGGGUGGGGCUCUGGUCCCUGUGGGUGGCACCCUCCCCCUUCAAGCAGGCACCAUUAAUAUAUGCAAAGCAUAUGCAAAUCACCCAGAAGAGAGACACAACAUCGGUGGAAUGUCAGAAGAGACCUUGGAGAUGAUCCAGCCCACGCCCCCUCAUUUCACAGGGUGGGUCCCUGGCCAGAGAGAGAGAAAGAGAGAGUGCAUCUGAGGGCUCUGCAUCCCAGCACCAACGCCAUACCCUGUACAUCUUUAAGAAACCUGGAGCCCAGCAGGAACCGGGCCAUGAUGACCCCAGAUCCCGCGCCCCCAUUGGGCAAGGAGGACAGCAGGAAGCCUGGAGGGGGGCAGGCCUCCCAGUGGCUCAUUCCCAGGGACCCUUCCCCAGGAGAGUUCCCCAUCUCCACUCAGCACUGCCUGAGGACCACAGUUGCUUCUUCCAGAUCCCCAGAGCAUGUGGGGGACCCACGUCUCCAUCCCAGCCCUGAGGGUCAUCACAGAGAACAAGCCAUCACGUGACAGGCUCCAUCUAAUGCAUCAUCAAUUCUUUAAGACCAGCAAGAGGGCUAAGGAAGGAUGAGAGAAACUGAGGCAUGGAGUUAGACGGCAAAGCAGUUGGCUCAAGGUCACCCAGACCAAGCCA